rnacentral:rRNA from 1 species
AAACCGAGUCUUAACCGGGCGUUAAGUUGCAGGGUAUAGACCCGAAACCCGGUGAUCUAGCCAUGGGCAGGUUGAAGGUUGGGUAACACUAACUGGAGGACCGAACCGACUAAUGUUGAAAAAUUAGCGGAUGACCUGUGGCUGGGGGUGAAAGGCCAAUCAAACCGGGAGAUAGCUGGUUCUCCCCGAAAGCUAUUUAGGUAGCGCCUCGUGAAUUCAUCUCCGGGGGUAGAGCACUGUUUCGGCUAGGGGGCCAUCCCGGCUUACCAACCCGAUGCAAACUGCGAAUACCGGAGAAUGUUAUCACGGGAGACACACGGCGGGUGCUAACGUCCGUCGUGAAGAGGGAAACAACCCAGACCGCCAGCUAAGGUCCCAAAGUCAUGGUUAAGUGGGAAACGAUGUGGGAAGGCCCAGACAGCCAGGAUGUUGGCUUAGAAGCAGCCAUCAUUUAAAGAAAGCGUAAUAGCUCACUGGUCGAGUCGGCCUGCGCGGAAGAUGUAACGGGGCUAAACCAUGCACCGAAGCUGCGGCAGCGACACUGUGUGU